ensembl:lncRNA
AGGCCCCCAAGUACACAAACACUUACUCAAAGUACUGAACAGGUUUGUUGCUUGCUGGUGGUGAUGUGUUUUUGUUGUAGUGAUGUGUGCAGAGAUGUGUGUUUUGGUUGUAGAGAUGUGUGUUGUAGUGAUCUGAGCGAAGAAGAAGACCAUGGGUCUGUGUGAGUAAGACACUGAUACUGGAUAUUUUGUCGCUGAGAAAUGCACCGAUCGGUAAAAAGUGUGAUAACCAUACAGCUUUCCCAUACAUUUUAUUUAUUCAGAGAACUCUGCCACAAAAAAGAUGCCCAUCAGGACGGGGGUGGUCGGGGUUAAGAUACAAAAAGAGCCAUGGAUGAGAUGACAGAAGGUUGGUGAAGAGACAGGAUAGGAAAAUACUGAGGGAAUGAGGAGGGUAGGGACAUUAGAGAAAAACAAGAUCUAUGGGAGGACAAAGAGAUGGACAUUUGCAGAGCCGUGCAUGAAGCCCCCAACUGUGGCAGAAUUUAUGUUUCUCCUUGUUCUCAUGAGACAAUAUCACCCAGAGGCUCCAAGACUCACGUAUUUAAUCCAGCAGGAAUUGACAUGGCCUAAAGUGUCAACAAAAAACUAAUUUGUUUGUGGGUCAGUUUGUUUGCGUGUGUGUGUUGGUGUGUGUUUGUUUGUGUGUGUGUUGGUGUUUGUGUGUUUGUGUUGUGUGUGUUGGUGUGUGUGUGUGUGUGUUUGUGUUUGUUAGUGUGUGUGUGUGUGUGUGUCCAGGUGAUAUUCAGGGCCAUUGUAUCGGUGCCGCUCAGAUUAGAUGAAUUUCUGAAUUAAUUUCACUUUUACAAUUAUUUCUCGGUGCCUAAGUCUGUGAGGCACUCAAGGAAGCGUUAGUGCAUGUUCCCUCUCUCUCUCGUCACGUGGCUGAAUCCCCCCCCCGGCCUGCAGGCGGAGCACCAUCUGGUGAGGUGCCAACGCAUCUGUUCUGUCUGAAAGACGUCUCACACCAUCCAGGAGAACAUCAUACUAGCUGCAGCACACACAUACACACACACACACACAGACAGAAGCAUCCUAAAUGUAAACCAUAGGCUUACUGCCAUUAUCACUAACAAUAAACCCUUAUGAAAUAAAUUCCACCUAACUUUUAGUCCCAAGACAAGUCAUAAUCGGAAACUGGAAAACUAUGGAAUAAUGCUUAAAACAAACCUGUAUUCCAGCACUAACCCUAAGUGUGAAUUCCCCAUCCCAGAAAUGUCCUAGUCUUGUGUUGCAAAAACAGGAUCACACAGACACGCACAAACACAGUUCCAUUUCUGCCCUUCCCUUCUCUCCCUAAACCCCAGAUCCCAGACAUCUACUGUCCCCCUGAACCUUUCACGACCCAUCAGCAGAGCAUCGCUCGUCAGCUUCCCUCAGAUUCACGUCACCUCAGCUCUUCUCCCUCUCAUCCAUCAGCAGAGCAUCGCUCGUCAGCUUCCCUCAGAUUCACGUCACCUCGGCUCUUCUCCCUCUCGCCUCUCGGUGUCCCCUGUGGUAGAAAUUCACAUAUUAGUACUCUUUCUAAGGCAGAAUACAGGUUCGGUACCUUUCUAAUCAGGAAUGUGGCGGAGGUCUUAGGAGGCAUUAAAAAUGGAAAGCCACUGUACUCGUCAGUGGAUCACAGGUGGAGGCAGACACAGUGGUCUUCAGGGCACAUCCCUGUGGACACAUUCAUGGCCACGCUGAACUCCAGUGUCACGCCAGACACCCCCACAGCUGGGCUCUGUCUGCUGAAAUAGUGAGGACAUGAGGUCUUGGCCCACACCUGGGAUACCAGGCACUAAAGACUCAUUGCUACCCCUGUCCAAAGUCCUCCUGGUUGUGUUUCCAGAUCAAGAUUCCACAAUUCCAGCUGCCUGUCUGCUGGCCCUCCAGUUGUCCCUGUCCUUGUCCAUCUAGUCAAGCUUCUGACCUGGAGUAGGUUUUAUAGACUCUGCCCACAGCCCAAAUGCAUUUAUUAUUACGACUUGUACUCUUAAAAUGUUCACCCAGCACAGCCAGAGGAGGAAUGGUCACCCCUCCGAGCUUGGUUCCUCUCUAGGUUUCUUCCAAAAUGUUGCACCUCUUAGGGAGUUUUUCCUAGCCACUGUGAUUCAACACUGUUGCUGCGUGCUCAGACUGGGUGUUUUUGUAAAAACACUUUUUUGACAACUGCUGAUGUAAAAAGGGCUUUAUAAAUAAAGUUGUUUUUAACAGAGUUCAUGAAUUUCCCCUUUUGAUGAUUUUCAUCCCCCCG